rnacentral:rRNA from 1 species
UACAGAGGGUGCAAGCGUUGUUCGGAAUUAUUGGGCGUAAAGCGCGUGUAGGCGGCUUUGCAAGUCGGGUGUGAAAGCCCUCAGCUUAACUGAGGAAGUGCGCCCGAAACUGCUUGGCUAGAGUACCGGAGAGGAUGGUGGAAUUCCCCAAGUAGAGGUGAAAUUCGUAGAUAUGGGGAGGAACACCGGUGGCGAAGGCGACCAUCUGGACGGAUACUGACGCUGAGACGCGAAAGCGUGGGUAGCAAACAGG